AACGAACGCUGGCGGCAUGCCUAACACAUGCAAGUCGAACGAGACCUUCGGGUCUAGUGGCGCACGGGUGCGUAACGCGUGGGAACCUGCCCUUAGGUUCGGAAUAACUCCCCGAGAGGGGUGCUAAUACCGGAUAAUGUCUUCGGACCAAAGAUUUAUCGCCUUUGGAUGGGCCCGCGUUGGAUUAGCUAGUUGGUAGGGUAAAAGCCUACCAAGGCGACGAUCCAUAGCUGGUCUGAGAGGAUGAUCAGCCACACUGGGACUGAGACACGGCCCAGACUCCUACGGGAAGCAGCAGUGGGGAAUAUUGGACAAUGGGCGAAAGCCUGAUCCAGCAAUGCCGCGUGAGUGAUGAAGGCCUUAGGGUUGUAAAGCUCUUUUACCCGGGAUGAUAAUGACAGUACCGGGAGAAUAAGCUCCGGCUAACUCCGUG
rnacentral:rRNA from 1 species